UGCCCAGCAACUUCUAUCCCUACCUCCUCGUGGUACCGGCGGGUAACCAACCCCGGUGGGAACUUUGGUCGUAAGCUGACAGGGAAGG
rnacentral:ribozyme from 1 species